rnacentral:rRNA from 1 species
AUGGAAGGGCCAUCGCUCAACGGAUAAAAGGUACUCCGGGGAUAACAGGCUGAUACCGCCCAAGAGUUCAUAUCGACGGCGGUGUUUGGCACCUCGAUGUCGGCUCAUCACAUCCUGGGGCUGAAGUAGGUCCCAAGGGUAUGGCUGUUCGCCAUUUAAAGUGGUACGCGAGCUGGGUUUAGAACGUCGUGAGACAGUUCGGUCCCUAUCUGCCGUGGGCGCUGGAGAACUGAGGGGGGCUGCUCCUAGUACGAGAGGACCGGAGUGGACGCAUCACUGGUGUUCGGGUUGUCAUGCCAAUGGCACUGCCCGGUAGCUAAAUGCGGAAGAGAUAAGUGCUGAAAGCAUCUAAGCACGAAACUUGCCCCGAGAUGAGUUCUCCCUGACUCCCUGAGAG